rnacentral:rRNA from 1 species
UACGAAGGGGGCUAGCGUUGUUCGGAAUUACUGGGCGUAAAGGGCGCGUAGGCGGUGUGUCAAGUCAGGCGUGGAAGCCCCGGGCUCAACCUGGGAACCGCGCUUGAGACUGGCACGCUAGAGUUCGGGAGAGGAUGGUGGAAUUCCCAGUGUAGAGGUGAAAUUCGUAGAUAUUGGGAAGAACACCGAUGGCGAAGGCAGCCAUCUGGACCGACACUGACGCUGAGGCGCGAAAGCGUGGGGAGCAAACAGG